AUACAGAGGGUGCAAGCGUUGUUCGGAAUUAUUAGGCGUAAAGCGAGUGUAGGCGGGAUCGUAUGUCGGGUGUGAAAGCCCUCGGCUCAACCGAGGAAGUGCGCCCGAAACUGCGGUUCUUGAGUGUCGGAGAGGGUGGCGGAAUUCCCGGUGUAGAGGUGAAAUUCGUAGAUAUCGGGAGGAACACCAGAGGCGAAGGCGGCCACCUGGACGAACACUGACGCUGAGACUCGAAAGCGUGGGGAGCAAACAGGAUUAGAUACCCUGGUAGUCCACGCCGUAAACGAUGAGUGCUAGCUGUUGCGGGUAUUGACCCCUGCAGUGGCGAAGCCAACGCAUUAAGCACUCCGCCUGGGAAGUACGGCCGCAAGGCUAAA
rnacentral:rRNA from 1 species